rnacentral:antisense_RNA from 1 species
CCUAACAAGAUUAAGUGAAUACCUAAAAUUGUGGUCAUUUUAUUUCGAUUCUUUCUA